AUUUUAACUUGGUGACCUAGAAAAUUCCGAAUUUCUAAUUUCUAGGCCACCAAAAAA
ensembl:ncRNA Y39G8C.9 ncRNA